rnacentral:rRNA from 1 species
UCAGGCGGGACUACCCGCUGAGUUUAAGCAUAUCAAUAAGCGGAGGAAAAGAAACUAACAAGGAUUCCCCUAGUAACGGCGAGUGAAGCGGGAAGAGCUCAAAUUUGUAAUCUGGCGCUUUCAGCGUCCGAGUUGUAAUCUCUAGAAACGUUUUCCGCAUUGGACCGCACACAAGUCUGUUGGAAUACAGCGGCACAGUGGUGAGACCCCCGUUCAUGG